rnacentral:rRNA from 1 species
AGGAUAAACGCUGGCGGCGUGCCUAACACAUGCAAGUCGAACGUCUCUUUCUUCGGGAAGAGGAGUGGCGGACGGGUGAGGAACACGUGGGAACCUGCCCUACAGUGAGGAAUACCGGCGAGAAAUCGCCGACAAGACCGCAUAGCCCUCUCUGGUGAGAGCCAGAGAAGGAAAGCUUCGCAAGAGGCGCUGGAGGAGGGGCCUGCGUCCGAUUAGCUAGUUGGUGGGGUAAGAGCCUACCAAGGCGUCGAUCGGUAGCUGGUCUGAGAGGACGAUCAGCCACACUGGGAUUGAGAACGGCCCAGACUCCUACGGGGGGCAGCAGUGAGGAAUUUUCGGCAAUGGGGGAAACCCUGACCGAGCAACGCCGCGUGCAGGAAGACGGCCUUCGGGUUGUAAACUGCUUUCUUUGGGACGAGCAAGGACGGUACCAGAGGAAUCAGCCCCGGCUCACUACGUGCCAGCAGCCGC